ensembl:lncRNA
GAAAGAAAUAAAGCUGCAAGGCUUAAUCCAAGUUAACGUGUUUCUUAUUAUUAAGUGUGCUUGUCUUUGCAACCUUAUUAAUGUUCUUAUGAUGUUUUUACAGCCUCUGCCUGCAGCAUGAUUCCCUUCACCUGGAGCAAUUCUGAACAAAGGUCUGCACUUUUGUCCUGUACGGGUCCCCUGCUAGCUGCUGGGGACCACUGGGCAGCUGCCUGAGGUGUGGAAAUGCUGGAAUGUGGAAGAGGAGGAACUGAGAGCUGAUGAAGAUCUGGGGAAGCUGAAGUGAGAUGUGACUCAACAGCAUAUCAUCCCUGGCUCAUAGGAAGAGGCACCGACACAUCUGUCAGCAACCUGAAGAUUAUCAAGAGGAACUACAAGGAUCUGGGAGCAGCAGUGAAGAACUCGGGAGCACAGGUUGUUUUCUCAUCAGUCCUCCAGACACCUUGGAAUACUAACGCAGCCUGUGAACAAAGAGCCUGUAAAAACUUCGUUCUGAAGAAUGGAAGGAAUGAGGUCAGCUACAAAAGAGGAGGUUGGAUGUCAUCGAGUCACAGCACCCCCGGGACAGAAAAGAUGUGAGGGUUUUUUGGUAUUUUGUCAACUUUUGCAGCUCGCUGCUGUGGGAGGAGCUCAAGGCAAAUAACUCUGAGAUGGGAUUUGGCCAAAGGUUGGGAAACUGAUCAUUAAUAACUUUUGUUGAGACUGUGCUUAGGAUAAUUGCUCUGUAUUUCUUGUCACAAACCUGUUGUCUAGGAGGGGUCAGGCAGAACUGUUCCCUACCCCCGCCAAGCACAGGGCUGCUGGUUGGGCUUUUUGUGCCUUUCAUUGCAUUGAAGCAUCAAAUACUUCCACCUGGAAAGGCACAGUGCUAAUGGCUGGAUGCGGGGUAGCCUAUUGGCAGGCGCUAAUAAAGCAGUGGGCAGGCUGCCAUAAAAGUUCAGGUUCUGAAAGGCUGGCUGGCAUUUGAAAACACCGCCUUUCCUCAGCAUGGAUGGAACAGCAGCAGCAUGCUGGGCCUUGUGCUGUAUCAGUGGCUGUGCUGUGUGCUAGGGCUGUCCCUCAAGUUUGGUUCCAGCUUCCUCUGUUGUUUUUUUUCUUCAUUAUGCAACUGCCUAAAAGGCUUCUUGUCUGAACCUGAAGCAGCGUCUGAAAAACUCUGUUUUAAUUACUGGCACAUGCAGCUCCGUGACACACAUCCUGGUGUAACCUGGGCAUUGCUACUUGAACUGGGAAGUUCUGAUAUCACUGUAACGAGCAUAAUAUGGACCUUAGACAACAUAAGACUGAGAACAGAACACAGCUCCUCCCUCAGAUAGCAUUCCUUUGAGCAGUGACUGUAUAAGUUUGUUUGUGUCUUUUUCCCCCCCCCAUGUUUAUUAUUUCAAGAAGCAUAUAUAAAAUGUGUUCAGUUUAUGAGAAAACAAGAAGAUCCUGGCCUUCCUGUCAGCACUGCAGGCUCAUCCUAUGCUUCAGAAAUCCAUCAGAUUCCUUCCCUCUCAGAUCACCAGUUGUGAGGGUUCUGUGGGACAGAUGUAUGCCUUGUUUACAUUACACAACAACACUGUCUUCAGGUUCUGCUCCCAGUGUGCAUACACAAUGUGGAAUCACAUCCAGCUCAUUUGCUUUCCCUCUGUUCUGUUGUCUCUGAAAAGCCAAGAGCAUUAAAAAAGGCAGCAAACAUUCACUAUUGUUAAUAAGCCCAGUUCAUCUGACUUUAAAUAAACAAAGUAAUAAAUCCAUUAGGAAAUAAGAUGUGACUUCUCCAAGUUACCCUCCAGGAGAGAACCAUG